UACGUAGGUGGCAAGCGUUGUCCGGAAUUACUGGGCGUAAAGGGUGCGCAGGCGGACAUUUAAGUGAGAUGUGAAAGACCCGGGCUUAACUUGGGCAGUGCAUUUCAAACUGGAUGUCUGGAGUGCAGGAGAGGAGAACGGAAUUCCUAGUGUAGCGGUGAAAUGCGUAGAGAUUAGGAAGAACACCAGUGGCGAAGGCGGUUCUCUGGACUGUAACUGACGCUGAGGCACGAAAGCGUGGGUAGCAAACAGG
rnacentral:rRNA from 1 species